rnacentral:rRNA from 1 species
UACAGAGGUCUCAAGCGUUGUUCGGAUUCAUUGGGCGUAAAGGGUGCGUAGGUGGCGGGGCAAGUCUGGUGUGAAAUCCUGGGGCUCAACCCCGGAACUGCACUGGAUACUGCUUUGCUAGAGUACUGGAGAGGGAACUGGAAUUUACGGUGUAGCAGUGAAAUGCGUAGAUACCGUAAGGAAGACCAGUGGCGAAGGCGAGUUCCUGGACAGUUACUGACACUGAGGCACGAAGGCCAGGGGAGCAAACGGG